rnacentral:rRNA from 1 species
UACAGAGGGGGCAAGCGUUGUUCGGAAUUACUGGGCGUAAAGGGCGCGUAGGCGGCCUCUUAAGUCGAACGUGAAAUCCCCGGGCUCAACCCGGGAACUGCGUCCGAUACUGGGGGGCUUGAAUCCGGGAGAGGGAUGUGGAAUUCCAGGUGUAGCGGUGAAAUGCGUAGAUAUCUGGAGGAACACCGGUGGCGAAGGCGGCAUCCUGGACCGGUAUUGACGCUGAGGCGCGAAAGCCAGGGGAGCAAAGCGGG